rnacentral:rRNA from 1 species
GAUGAACGCUGGCGGCGUGCCUAAUACAUGCAAGUCGAGCGAACGGACGAGAAGCUUGCUUCUCUGAUGUUAGCGGCGGACGGGUGAGUAACACGUGGAUAACCUACCUAUAAGACUGGGAUAACUUCGGGAAACCGGAACUAAUACCGGAUGAUAUUUUGAACCGCAUGGUUCAAAAGUGAAAGACGGUCUUGCUGUCACUUAUAGAUGGAUCCGCGCUGCAUUAGCUAGUUGGUAAGGUAACGGCUUACCAAGGCAACGAUGCAUAGCCGACCUGAGAGGGUGAUCGGCCACACUGGAACUGAGACACGGUCCAGACUCCUACGGGAGGCAGCAGUAGGGAAUCUUCCGCAAUGGGCGAAAGCCUGACGGAGCAACGCCGCGUGAGUGAUGAAGGUCUUCGGAUCGUAAAACUCUGUUAUUAGGGAAGAACAUAUGUGUAAGUAACUGUGCACAUCUUGACGGUACCUAAUCAGAAAGUCACGGCUAACUACGUG